rnacentral:rRNA from 1 species
AUGCACGCUGGCGGCGUGCCUAAUACAUGCCAGUCGAGCGAACAGACGAGGAGCUUGCUCCUCUGACGUUAGCGGCGGACGGGUGAGUAACACGUGGAUAACCUACCUAUAAGACUGGGAUAACUUCGGGAAACCGGAGCUAAUACCGGAUAACAUGUUGAACCGCAUGGUUCAACAGUGAAAGACGGUCUUGCUGUCACUUAUAGAUGGAUCCGCGCCGCAUUAGCUAGUUGGUAAGGUAACGGCUUACCAAGGCAACGAUGCGUAGCCGACCUGAGAGGGUGAUCGGCCACACUGGAACUGAGACACGGUCCAGACUCCUACGGGAGGCAGCAGUAGGGAAUCUUCCGCAAUGGGCGAAAGCCUGACGGAGCAACGCCGCGUGAGUGAAGAAGGUCUUCGGAUCGUAAAACUCUGUUAUUAGGGAAGAACAAAUGUGUAAGUAACUAUGCACGUCUUGACGGUACCUAAUCAGAAAGCCACGGCUAACUACGUG